UUGUUUGGUGAACUUCUAGGUGACCUUUUUUGCAGCUUUAAUGUUAGGUUAAUGAUGCAGAAGACAGACAGAGAGUGCAAUGUUUUUUUACCAGUCUGAAUCCUUCUAAAGAGAUCCGGCUGUUAGACUGCCGUUCACUCUCCAUUUGUGCUUGUUUACUCUCAUGACGACCUCCAGGAAAGGCAUCAAUCAUUCAGUCUAAUAGAACCUGAUGUUUCCUUCACUAAACCCAACUGCUCAUUUGAGAUCUGAUACUGAGAUGGAGCUCCUUUUCAAAGCUGUGCUGUGAGAAACAGAUGAGUCUCAGACGGGACCACAACGUGCACAAAUCCUCACACGGGGUCUAAGGCAUUGUCACCAGACAGACAAUCACGAGAUGAGCUCCUAUGCAGCACGAUUCAUGUUAGAGGAGAAAAACAUUGCUUUUCUCAAGAGCGCACAGCCCAUUUCCCCAAAGCUCUCAGCGAGCCUGUUUUCACCAUAUCAAGAGAUGAGAGUCGCCCUCAGCUCUGCCUGACAAUCAGACGACUGGUGCCGGGGAGAGGAGUGGCCCCUUGUGUUUCCUUCUCUAACGAGAAGACAGAUACGUCCAGCCCUCCUAGAUCCAUCUCAUUUUAUCCAUCAUCCAUCCCUCUAUCUGCCCAUCUAAAUAUCUUUGUUCAACUAUCCAUCAGUUCGUCUAUCUUUCUGUCCAUCCAUCCAGCCAUUCAUCUAUCUAUUGUUUAGUCAUUCUAUCUAUCAUUCUAUUAUUUGAUCUAUCAUCAGCAUCCUUGAUACCUCAUUUUAAAUUCAGUUCAAAUUCAGAAACUGAAUUGGAAUUUUAAAAAGGUCACAACCCUGAUAUUUUUGGUUUCUGGCAACAAUAGAUGGUUUUAUAAAAAGAAAAAAGAAAAACCUAGAACAUCGUGAGUUCUUUAAGAAACUUUAAAAGAAAGAAAAAAUCUACAUAGUGGACAAGUUUUUAUGCUUAUUAGUGAAUCACAUUGUCAGCUUAGCAACAUGUCAAUGUCUAUUGGAAUCAACUGUCUGAAAUUUUAACUAACUUAUAUAUGUAAAAAGCUAUUCCAUGAUCAAACAAGCCAAAACCUAGUGAGACGCAUUACAAACUUCCUUCCAAGGCAGCAUCCAGUUCUUAAGUGAAAUGGAACUUCAGAAGUGACUGAUUUGGAACAUUUCAGCAAGCCUUUGUAAAGUGUUCCAAAUUGGUCACAUAUGAGCUUCGGUGUUUGAUCAUCUACAAAAAUGUGAUGAAAA
ensembl:lncRNA